rnacentral:SRP_RNA from 2 species
GCCGGGCGUGGUGGCUCACCCCUGUAAUUCCAGCACUUGGGAGGCCGGGGCGGGUGGAUCACCUGAGGUCAGGAGUUUGAGACCAGCCUGACCAACAUGGUGAAAACCCGUCUCUA